rnacentral:rRNA from 1 species
CGCCAAAUGCCUUCACAUGCAAGUCGAACGGCAGCGCGGGAGCAAUCCUGGCGGCGAGUGGCGAACGGGUGAGUAAUACAUCGGAACGUGCCCAAUCGUGGGGGAUAACGCAGCGAAAGCUGUGCUAAUACCGCAUACGAUCUACGGAUGAAAGCAGGGGAUCGCAAGACCUUGCGCGAAUGGAGCGGCCGAUGGCAGAUUAGGUAGUUGGUGAGGUAAAGGCUCACCAAGCCUUCGAUCUGUAGCUGGUCUGAGAGGACGACCAGCCACACUGGGACUGAGACACGGCCCAGACUCCUACGGGAGGCAGCAGUGGGGAAUUUUGGACAAUGGGCGCAAGCCUGAUCCAGCCAUGCCGCGUGCAGGAUGAAGGCCUUCGGGUUGUAAACUGCUUUUGUACGGAACGAAACGGCCUUUUCUAAUAAAGAGGGCUAAUGACGGUACCGUAAGAAUAAGCACCGGCUAACUACGUGCCAGCAGCCGCGGUAAUACGUAGGGUGCAAGCGUUAAUCGGAAUUACUGGGCGUAAAGCGUGC